rnacentral:rRNA from 1 species
GGGGAGCAAACAGGAUUAGAUACCCUGGUAGUCCACGCUGUAAACGAUGAGUACUAGGUGUCGGGGGUUACCCCCUUCGGUGCCGCAGCUAACGCAUUAAGUACUCCGCCUGGGAAGUACGCUCGCACGAGUGAAACUCAAAGGAAUUGACGGGGACCCGCACAAGUAGCGGAGCAUGUGGUUUAAUUCGAAGCAACGCGAAG